AUUGAACGCUGGCGGCACGCCUUACACAUGCAAGUCGAACGGUAACAGGUCUUCGGAUGCUGACGAGUGGCGAACGGGUGAGUAAUACAUCGGAACGUGCCUAGUAGUGGGGGAUAACUACUCGAAAGAGUGGCUAAUACCGCAUGAGAUCUAUGGAUGAAAGCAGGGGAUCGCAAGACCUUGUGCUACUAGAGCGGCCGAUGGCAGAUUAGGUAGUUGGUGGGAUAAAAGCUUACCAAGCCGACGAUCUGUAGCUGGUCUGAGAGGACGAUCAGCCACACUGGGACUGAGACACGGCCCAGACUCCUACGGGAGGCAGCAGUGGGGAAUUUUGGACAAUGGGCGCAAGCCUGAUCCAGCAAUGCCGCGUGCAGGAUGAAGGCCUUCGGGUUGUAAACUGCUUUUGUACGGAACGAAAAGCCCUGGGUUAAUACCCUGGGGUCAUGACGGUACCGUAAGAAUAAGCACCGGCUAACUACGUGCCAGCCGCCGCCGUAAGAC
rnacentral:rRNA from 1 species